UCUAUUUUUUGAAAAAAAAUUAUGAGCUAUUGUCAUCACCUUGGCGUCGGCGUUGGCGUCCGGUUAAGUUUUGCGUUUAGGUCCACUUUUCUCAGAAAGUAUCAAUGCUAUUGCAUUCAAACUUGGUACACUUACUUACUAUCAUGAGGGGACUGGGCAGGCAAAGUGAGAUAACUCUGGCGUGCAUUUUGACAGAAUUAUGUUCCCUUUUUAUACUUAGAAAAUUGAAAAUUUUGGUUAAGUUUUGUGUUUAGGUCCAUUUUAUUCCUUAAGUAUCAAAGCUAUUGCUUUCAUACUUGCAACACUUACUAACUAUCAUAAGGGGACUGUGCAGGCAAAGUUAUGUAACUCUGACUGGCAUUUUGACAGAAUUAUGUGCCCUUUUUAUACUUAGAAAAUUGAAAAUUUGGUUAAGUUUUGUGUUUAGGUCCACUUUAUUCCUACAGUAUCAAAGCUAUUGCUUUCAUACUUGCAACACUUAUUAACUAUCAUAAGGGGACUGUGCAGGCAAAGUUAUGUAACUCUGACUGGCAUUUGGACUGAAUUAUGGGCCCUUUAUACUUAGAAAAUUGAAAAUUUGGUUAAGUUUUGUGUUUUGGUCCACUUUACCCC